UGGGGAAUAUUGGGCAAUGGGCGCAAGCCUGACCCAGCAACGCCGCGUGAAGGAAGAAGGUCUUCGGAUUGUAAACUUCUGUCAUUGGGGACGAAGGAAGUGACGGUACCCAAUGAGGAAGCUCCGGCUAACUACGUGCCAGCAGCCGCGGUAAUACGUAGGGAGCGAGCGUUGUCCGGAUUUACUGGGUGUAAAGGGUGCGUAGGCGGCUCUGCAAGUCAGGUGUGAAAACUAUCGGCUUAACUGAUAGACUGCAUUUGAAACUGUGGAGCUUGAGUGAAGUAGAGGCAGACGGAAUUCCCGGUGUAGCGGUGAAAUGCGUAGAGAUCGGGAGGAACACCAGUGGCGAAGGCGGUCUGCUGGGCUUUAACUGACGCUGAGGCACGAAAGCAUGGGUAGCAAACAGG
rnacentral:rRNA from 1 species